rnacentral:ncRNA from 2 species
GGUCACGAGCCCCAGUGCGAAGCCCCGGCUGGCUGGGCAGCAACCCCCACGUCACGGCGGGGUGCUCCGGGAGAUGACCUGGCCGCCGGCCGGCCCGCGCA